rnacentral:rRNA from 1 species
GGACUUUUACUUUGAAAAAAUUAGAGUGUUCAAAGCAGGCCUACGCCCGAAUACAUUAGCAUGGAAUAAUAGAAUAGGACGCGCGUUCCCAUUUUGUUGGUUUCUGAGAUCGCCGUAAUGAUUAAUAGGGAUAGUUGGGGGCAUUUGUAUUCCGUCGUCAGAGGUGAAAUUCUUGGAUUGCCGGAAGACAAACUAUUGCGA